UAUGUUGUUCCCACAAGAUAAUAUGUUGUUCCCACAAGAUAAUAUAUUGUACCCACAAGAUAAUAUAUUGUUCCCACAAGAUAAUAUAUUGUACCCACAAGAUAAUAUCUUGUACCCACAAGAUAAUAUCCUGUACCCACAAGAUAAUUUAUUGUUCCCACAAGAUAAUUUAUUGUUCCCACAGGAUAAUAUCUUGUUCAAGAAGUGGUUUAUUCAUAUUAUUGUUUAAC
rnacentral:lncRNA from 1 species